GUUAAUCUUGACGUUAGAGAUCCUUCCAUAAAGUUCAAAUUCUCGCAUAAUGUUGGGUAGGGUUGUCUCAGCUAAAGAGACAAAGAAGAUCAGGUCAUCUGCGUACGCAGCCACCUUAUGUGUUGAGGGUCCUGACAUGAUUCCUUUUAUAUCUGGGUUUCUCUGAAUUGCCUGUAAAAACGGUUCCAGGGCCAAGACAAACAGC